rnacentral:piRNA from 1 species
UUGCAGUAUGUAGGAAAUCAAAACGUUC